CAUCUAAUUUGAAUGUUUAUGCCGAACAUAUACAACGGCAUAAACAUCUAAGUUGAAUGUUUAUGCCGCGUUGAAUAUGUUCGGCAUAAACAUUCAAGUUAGAUG
rnacentral:miRNA from 1 species